rnacentral:rRNA from 1 species
GGUUCCGAAUUUAGAAGGUUGAUGGGUCUUGAACCGUGGCUUCUGGAGCUAACGCGUUUAAAUCGACCGCCUGGGGAGUACGGCCGCAAGGUUAAAACUCAAAUGAAUUGACGGGGGCCCGCACAAGCGGUGGAGCAUGUGGUUUAAUUCGAUGCAACGCGAAGAACCUUACCUACUCUUGACAUCCAGCGAAUCCUUUAGAGAUAGAGGAGUGCCUUCGGGAACGCUGAGACAGGUGCUGCAUGGCUGUCGUCAGCUCGUGUUGUGAAAUGUUGGGUUAAGUCCCGCAACGAGCGCAACCCUUAUCCUUUGUUGCCAGCACGUUAUGGUGGGAACUCAAAGGAGACUGCCGGUGAUAAACCGGAGGAAGGUGGGGAUGACGUCAAGUCAUCAUGGCCCUUACGAGUAGGGCUACACACGUGCUACAAUGGCAGAUACAAAGAGAAGCGACCUCGCGAGAGCAAGCGGAACUCAUAAAGUCUGUCGUAGUCCGGAUUGGAGUCUGCAACUCGACUCCAUGAAGUCGGAAUCGCUAGUAAUCGUAGAUCAGAAUGCUACGGUGAAUACGUUCCCGGGCCUUGUACACACCGCCCGUCACACCAUGGGAGUGGGUUGCAAAAGAAGUAGGUAGCUUAACCUUCGGGAGGGCGCUUACCACUUUGUGAUUCAUGACUGGGGUGAAGUCGUAACAAGGGUAACCGACUUU